rnacentral:rRNA from 1 species
UACGUAGGUGGCGAGCGUUGUCCGGAUUUACUGGGCGUAAAGGGAGCGUAGGCGGACUUUUAAGUGAGAUGUGAAAUACUCGGGCUCAACUUGAGUGCUGCAUUUCAAACUGGAAGUCUAGAGUGCAGGAGAGGAGAAUGGAAUUCCUAGUGUAGCGGUGAAAUGCGUAGAGAUUAGGAAGAAAACCAGUGGCGAAGGCGAUUCUCUGGACUGUAACUGACGCUGAGGCUCGAAAGCGUGGGGAGCAAACAGG